rnacentral:rRNA from 1 species
AUGGGGGACCUUAAUGAGCUCUUGUAUGAUAUGGAUAAAAAUAAUGCUAAUGUGAAUUACCGUCGUUUGUAUGCUUUUCGUGCUUUGGUCAAGAACUGUGGUUUUUUUGAUUUGGGAUUUUCGGGGCCUACUUAUACUUGGACUAACAGGAGAUUUUUUUCUAAACCUACUUAUGAAAGGCUUGAUAGAGGUUUGGUUAAUCCUAAUCGGUGUGCUGAGUACCCGCUCACUAAAGUUCUUAAUCUUCCUAUUAUUCUUAGUGAUCAUGCACCCAUCCUUAUCACCACUGAAGGUCAGCACAAAAAACCGAAAAAAAGCUUCAAGUUUGAUAAU